UUUGCCAAAAGUCCUUCUCGCAAACAUUGUUCUUGCUUAAAAGGAAGCUAUCUGCAAAAUUUCAGUCCCAUUGGAUCUGUCGGGUUUUCGGAAGUACAGCCAAAAAUUGUAUUUCUGUAGUUAGUAUUAUCAUACACGAGGUAUAUUCUAGUAAAUUUUGCUUUCCAACAUGAUUUAUUAAUUAUUAUUUGUGAAAUAUCCAAUUGAAGUUCCUACAGUAUUGGCAGUACAGUGCAGUUCUUCAGGCCUUGGAUAAGACAACAUACAUGACCUUUGAUCGUUUAAGUGUUCUCAGUAGCGCACUGUGGGAUCGAAUGAUAGGCCUCUUAACAAGAGAUAAAUAGAGUGCCAAUAUGUCAUCACUAGAUGAGGGGUUUCCACUGCUAGCGCCGCUGCUGGGAGGGGUAUUCAGAUCUGGUGGAUCUAAGUAUGAAAGUAGUUCCAUCGGAUCUACAACAUUGUCUGGCAAGAGCUGUAACAUAAGAUAGUAUGAGAAGAAGAAUACAAAGAAGUACUUACAUUCAAUGCUUCCUGACCUGUGCCCUCGCCAUCUAUCACUGCAGCUGGAUCGAAAUUUAAAUCUGAUGGUAUAUCUGCAGUAUCAUUAUUAAUGUUUGUACUCGUACUACCAGACGUGUUAUGAUUCCCCGUAGAUUCCUGAGAUGCAGGAGGAACACUAGGUGGCCCACUAUUACCACCACCCGGUGUGUGAGGUGUGUGAGGAGUAUGUGGUGUGUGUGGUGUGUGGGGCAUCUGAAACGUGCAAAACGGGCAUGUACUACUUCAUAGAAUAUUUUAUAGUGUUACAGAAUAGUUUACAGGCGUAGUAACUUGAAAUUUUUAAUCUACCUGAUCGUUCAGCGAUUUUUCCAUAGCGUUGAGAGGAUCUAGAGAAUUAACCGAUUCGUUCAAGUGCGAAAGAGGCCCCGUUCCGUUAGAAUAAUCGUUACUGGCGUUCGUAUUCGUUCCGGAAUUAAUAUCGAAGGAUCCACCCGACGAAUUUCUAUGGUUAAUGUUGUUGUUUGUAUAAGUGGAUUGCGUAUUGUUCAUCAUAGAGCCGCUCACGAUGCUGCUCAUGUCAGGCGGUAUGUACGGACUCAUUGCCUGGUUCAUAUCCCAAUUAUUCAUAGUGGGCAUGUUCAUACUUCCAGGUGACAUUGCCUUGGUCAUUCUCUUGCAAUCGCUUUCCUCUUCCGAUUUAAUACCGCUCAUGUUUUUAGCUGGCUUCCAAUUCGCCAUGGAGUCUAUCGUUACCUCUUCUACUUCUGCAGUAUUUAAAGUGUUCAAAAUGCCCCACAUAUAUUGGUCGACCUCCAGACCUUCCAAUUGCGCAGGUUUUCUGUAAUAAGUGUACGUAACGUUAGUUUAUUAAUUAAUAAAUGGAGUUAGAUUGAAUAUCAUUGAACUGUAAAUCAACUUACGUGCACACAGGACACCUCCAAGAUCCUCUUUCACAAUUUAAUUGUAGGUACGACUCCAAAUCGAAGCAUUGUAUGUGCUUGCAAUCGUGUCCUCUUGCUGGCAGUGUAAUACGUUUAAAAGUGAUAGGACAUUUUAAAGAUACCUGUAAUGUAAGAAUGAUAUGAAU